rnacentral:tRNA from 1 species
AGCGGGGUAGAGGAAUUGGUCAACUCAUCUAGCUCAUGACCUGAAGACUGCAGGUUCGAAUCCUGUCCCCGCCU